AUACGUAGGGGGCGAGCGUUGUCCGGAAUGAUUGGGCGUAAAGGGCGCGUAGGCGGCCCGGUAAGUCUGGAGUGAAAGUCCUGUUUUUAAGAUGGGAAUUGCUUUGGACACUGUCGGGCUUGAGUGCAGGAGAGGUAAGUGGAAUUCCCAGUGUAGCGGUGAAAUGCGUAGAGAAUGGGAGGAACACCAGUGGCGAAGGCGACUUACUGGACUGUAACUGACGCUGAGGCGCGAAAGUGUGGGGAGCAAACAGGAUUAGAUACCCUGGUAGUCCACACUGUGAACGAUGAAUGCUAGGUGUAGGGGGUAUCGACCCCUUCUGUGCCGCAGUCAACACAAUAAGCAUUCCGCCUGGGGAGUACGGCCGCAAGGUUGAAACUCAAAGGAAUUGACGGGG
rnacentral:rRNA from 1 species